rnacentral:lncRNA from 7 species
GGUAAUAAACUUGAGGGAAGAAUGCUUACUGGAUGUCUGAGUUGGAUUUUGGUCUUUGGUUCAGGGAAGAGUUGCUGUGCUUAUCUUGUUCUGGAUGGGAUCGUCAGCUGCAGAUGUGAAGGUGUAUGACCUAUCUUGCAUCUUAUGACCUAUCAGGGUUUACCCAUAUUCCUCUGGGAUAGGAACACACCAUUGAUAGGUGUGUUUUAAAAAUCAGGGCAUUUAAUUUUGUGCUACCAGUGGACUCCACUGUACUUGAUCAAGAAAAAAAAAAUGCAGCCCUUGAGAAGAAUGAAUAUUAUCCUGAGAGAGUCAGAUGAGUCACCCUCUGAGACGUUAAGUGCUACCCUACUGUGAAGAGAUUUGAUUGACUGAACAAGACAGUUGAAAUGCUAUUUUAAUGAACUGCGAUGAAAAUUGUGUUGAAAAUGAAGGGUAUAAAAGAGAUGAUCCACUCAGUUUUAGUUUUCCACUUGUUGGAGGUUCUUCUGGAGUACUUAAUCCCAUAAUUUGUCAGAACAAUUAAAACAAAGAAGCAAACAAGAGGAAAAAAAAAAAAAAAGCAAGAGAGCGAGAGGUCAGUUUAUUUCGCAGUUGUUGCUGAUAUCCAUCAGUACCAGGUCCAAGUAUGUGAGCACUGCAGUUUCCUCUGCCUCUUGCAAUUAGUUCCAUUAUCAUUCAUGCAACUGAGACUGAUCAUUUUCCUAUAACUUCACUGGUCCUAUCUUGUGCCUCAUGUCUUUGCUGUGACUUUUUUUCUAAAUAAGACCUAAAUUAGGCCAUGAAUUGAAUAUAAUUGUUUGAAUUGUUUGCCUUCAGAAUUGCAGAACUUACGUGAUUUCCCUCUCAGUUAUUACUCAAAUUGUAUCCUGUUAUUUAAAUGGUUACUGGAAACAAUAUGUUGUCAAUAUACAAGGAGAACAUAAAGAAUAUGUAAAAAAAAAAAAAAAUCAGAUAUUUAUAUAUUUGCUUAUUUUUAAGUAUGGUAGUUUUAUUUACUAUGACGGUGAAAUUUUGUUCACACUAAUGGUGACUCAGUGUUUUGCUGAGUCUCAGUGAUUAAUAAAAUACAAUAACAC